AAACCGACACAGGUGGUCAGGUAGAGAAUACCAAGGCGCUUGAGAGAACUCGGGUGAAGGAACUAGGCAAAAUGGUGCCGUAACUUCGGGAGAAGGCACGCUGAUAUGUAGGUGAAGCCCCUGCGGGCGGAGCUGAAAUCAGUCGAAGAUACCAGCUGGCUGCAACUGUUUAUUAAAAACACAGCACUGUGCAAACACGAAAGUGGACGUAUACGGUGUGACGCCUGCCCGGUGCCGGAAGGUUAAUUGAUGGGG
rnacentral:rRNA from 1 species